rnacentral:misc_RNA from 1 species
GAUGAAGAACGCAGCGAAAUGCGAUACUUGGUGUGAAUUGCAGAAUCCCGUGAACCAUCGAGUCUUUGAACGCAAGUUGCGCCCGAAGCCACUAGGCCGAGGGCACGCCUGCCUGGGCGUCACACGCCGUUGCCCCCCCAUCUACUCCUUCGGGAUUGCGGGGGGGCGGAUGAUGGCCUCCCGUGCGCCUAGCCGCGCGGUUGGCAUAAAUACCAAGUCCUCGGCGACGCACGCCACGACAAUCGGUGGUUGCGAAACCUCGGUUGUCCGUCGUGUGCGUUCGUCGCGCAUCGAGGGCUCGAAAAAAUGCUCGGCUCCGGCUGGGCUUUCAACGCGACCCCAGGUCAGGCGGGGUUACCCGCUGAAUUUAAGCAUAUCAAUAAGCGGAGGA